UACGUAGGUGGCAAGCGUUGUCCGGAAUUAUUGGGCGUAAAGCGCGCGCAGGCGGUCCCUUAAGUCUGAUGUGAAAGCCCACGGCUCAACCGUGGAGGGUCAUUGGAAACUGGGGGACUUGAGUACAGAAGAGGAAAGCGGAAUUCCACGUGUAGCGGUGAAAUGCGUAGAGAUGUGGAGGAACACCAGUGGCGAAGGCGGCUUUCUGGUCUGUAACUGACGCUGAGGCGCGAAGGCGUGGGGAGCAAACAGG
rnacentral:rRNA from 1 species